CCUACGGGCGGCAGCAGUGGGGAAUAUUGGACAAUGGGGGCAACCCUGAUCCAGCCAUGCCGCGUGUGUGAAGAAGGCCCUCGGGUUGUAAAGCACUUUCAGUGAGGAAGAACGCCUGGUGGUUAAUACCCAUCAGGAAAGACAUCACUCACAGAAGAAGCACCGGCUAACUCCGUGCCAGCAGCCGCGGUAAUACGGAGGGUGCGAGCGUUAAUCGGAAUUACUGGGCGUAAAGCGCGCGUAGGUGGCUUGAUAAGCCGGUUGUGAAAGCCCCGGGCUCAACCUGGGAACGGCAUCCGGAACUGUCAAGCUAGAGUGCAGGAGAGGAAGGUAGAAUUCCCGGUGUAGCGGUGAAAUGCGUAGAGAUCGGGAGGAAUAGCAGUGGCGAAGGCGGCCUUCUGGACUGACACUGACACUGAGGUGCGAAAGCGUGGGUAGCAAACAGGAUUAGAUACCCUGGUAGUC
rnacentral:rRNA from 1 species